UAGCGGCGGGCCUAAUACUUGCAAGUCGAACGGCAGCACGGAGAGCUUGCUCUCUGGUGGCGAGUGGCGAACGGGUGAGUAAUAUAUCGGAACGUGUCCAAUAAUGGGGGAUAACGAGUCGAAAGAUUCGCUAAUACCGCAUACGCCCUACGGGGGAAAGCAGGGGAUCGUAAGACCUUGCGUUAAUGGAGCGGCCGAUAUCUGAUUAGCUUGUUGGUGAGGUAAAGGCUCACCAAGGCGACGAUCAGUAGCUGGUUUGAGAGAACGACCAGCCACACUGGAACUGAGACACGGUCCAGACUCCUACGGGAGGCAGCAGUGGGGAAUUUUGGACAAUGGGGGCAACCCUGAUCCAGCCAUUCCGCGUGAGUGAAGAAGGCCUUCGGGUUGUAAAGCUCUUUCGCAAGGGAAGAAAACUUAUGAUCGAAUAAAUCAUGAGGUUGACGGUACCUUGAUAAGAAGCACCGGCUGACUACGUGCCAGCAGCCGCGGUAAUACGUAGGGUGCGAGCGUUAAUCGGAAUUACUGGGCGUAAAGCGUGCGCAGGCGGUUUUGUAAGUCGGAUGUGAAAUCCCCGGGCUCAACCUGGGAACUGCGUUCGAAACUGCAAGGCUAGAGUGUGUCAGAGGGGGGUAGAAUUCCACGUGUAGCAGUGAAAUGCGUAGAGAUGUGGAGGAAUACCAAUGGCGAAGGCAGCCCCCUGGGAUAACACUGACGCUCAUGCACGAAAGCGUGGGGAGCAAACAGGAUUAGAUACCCUGGUAGUCCACGCCCUAAACGAUGUCAACUAGUUGUUGGUAGAGUAAAAUCUAUGAGUAACGUAGCUAACGCGUGAAGUUGACCGCCUGGGGAGUACGGCC
rnacentral:rRNA from 1 species